GGCUACUAUUGGUCUACAAUUAUCCAGGACAUGAAAGAAUGGGUCAGAUCUUGUCACCGCUGCCAGUUGAAUGACCCAAUCAAGACUGUUGUGCCAGUCUUGCAUUCCAUUAAGGUAAAAGAAGCUUGGGAGGUUCUUGGUUUAGAUUUGAUUGGACCACUGCCAGAAACGGCAAGCAACGACAAGUAUGUCCUUAC